UAACCACUGAGCAACCACGGCGGGUCCCGCAGGAGUUGUACGCCUCAUUUAACCUACAGUGGUGCCCUACUUGGUCAGUCAAGGUGGACCAAUCUGAGCUCGGUUAUACCGCAUGGAUGGCACUCGUCUAGAGAACCUGGUAUUUAUGACCUGCACAUGUGAGUGUGAGGCCAUACAUAUUUGAAGAUAUAUAUCUUUCUUUUUUGUUUUUUUUUUUUAGGAGGGUUCCCGUACAGUGAUAAAAUAAAGGAAAAGACAUUAAAACAAAGAAAAAAAAAAGAAAGAAAAAGGGGCGGAAAAAAAAAAGGAACAUAACAGGUGAUUUGAACUCGUGACCCUUCGAUGUUGCCCGGAAAGAUAGCUCAGUCGGUUGGUUCGUCAGGCCCCAGGCUACUUUCAAGCGCCACAGCUCCUGCUCCGAGCCUCACACUUACGUGGAAAGAGACUCAUGUUGUCCGCGAUAGUCGGUGCUUGGAAGGCAUACUUUCUAGGAAAAAUGGCCGCUCAAGGAGAAGAGCGAACUCGAGCGGCUUUAGAGGCUAGGAAAACUGCCUUAAAAUAUUUAGACUUGAGGGAAAGCUUCGUUAACAAACUAUAACACGGCAAUCAGCACUCGAAUACGACGAGAGAAAUUACUGAGACGUGGAAAAUUCCCUUGAAAAAAAAUCUGGUUUGCUAGACAAAUGCUUGUAUGUAUUGAACCUCUUAAAAGAUGAGGGGUGAAAUAUGCGCUCACCGAGAGGGCAUCUUCAGCACGAGACAUCCACAAGGCACCUUACAGAGAUGUGGAGAGCUUCGCGGCCGGAACGAAGCCUCCCUUCUCCGCCGGCCAAGAGGGGGAAACGCGCUUUCCGAUCGCUCAAGGUUGCGCGGACAAAGCAUAACUCUAGCGUCUAGGAAAAGCUUAACCAGGUGCGAUGGCGGCACGCAUAGCGUGGGAAGCUAGCCGCCAGAAUAACUAUACCAAGGACUGCUGCUGAUGAGGGCGAAAUACCUUCGUGUAAUUAUAAUAACCCUAAUAGGACUACUUUCGAAAAAAAAAGGAAA